UAGGGAAUCUUCCGCAAUGGGCGAAAGCCUGACGGAGCAACGCCGCGUGAGUGAUGAAGGUCUUCGGAUCGUAAAACUCUGUUAUUAGGGAAGAACAAAUGUGUAAGUAACUAUGCACAUCUUGACGGUACCUAAUCAGAAAGCCACGGCUAACUACGUGCCAGCAGCCGCGGUAAUACGUAGGUGGCAAGCGUUAUCCGGAAUUAUUGGGCGUAAAGCGCGCGUAGGCGGUUUUUUAAGUCUGAUGUGAAAGCCCACGGCUCAACCGUGGAGGGUCAUUGGAAACUGUUUAACUUGAGUGCAGAAGGGGAGAGUGGAAUUCCAUGUGUAGCGGUGAAAUGCGUAGAUAUAUGGAGGAACACCGGUGGCGAAAGCGGCUCUCUGGUCUGUAACUGACGCUGAGGCUCGAAAGCGUGGGGAGCGAACAGG
rnacentral:rRNA from 1 species